CAGUCGCCGCGGGAAUACAGAGGGUGCGAGCGUUAAUCGGAUUUACUGGGCGUAAAGCGUGCGUAGGCGGCUUCUUAAGUCGGAUGUGAAAUCCCUGAGCUUAACUUAGGAAUUGCAUUCGAUACUGGGAAGCUAGAGUAUGGGAGAGGAUGGUAGAAUUCCAGGUGUAGCGGUGAAAUGCGUAGAGAUCUGGAGGAAUACCGAUGGCGAAGGCUGCCAUCUGGCCUAAUACUGACGCUGAGGUACGAAAGCAUGGGGAGCAAACAGGAUUAGAUACCCCUGUAGUCCCUGUCUCUUAUAC
rnacentral:rRNA from 1 species